GUCCACAGCUGCCAAGAUGAAAAUCAAUGCCAGGAAGGCAGCUGCAAAUUUUCGACGUUGCUGCUGGUAUUGCUGGGACGACAUUUCUGGGAUGAAGAGAAAGAGAAAGCCUUAGAAACACGGAACUAAUAUGGACGGGAGCUCUUGCAUCCACCUGCCUCAGUCAGUGGUCCCUACCCAGAGCAGGACUCCUGAAUCAUGGCACCCAAACAGGGACCUAAAGAUAAGGAAUCACUAGAUAUCUGAAGCCCACAAUAACAGGUGAGAUCUUACUGUAACAAAGACAAUAGCUUGGACAAAUAGUCUGUAUUUUGAAAACCCUAUCUACUGUCUCAGAAUAACGCCAGAGUUCUGCC